AAUGAACGCUGGCGGCAUGCCUAACACAUGCAAGUCAAACGAAGGCUUCGGCCUUAGUGGCGCACGGGUGCGUAACGCGUGGGAAUCUGCCCUUGGGUUCGGAAUAACAGUUAGAAAUGACUGCUAAUACCGGAUGAUGUCGUAAGACCAAAGAUUUAUCGCCCAAGGAUGAGCCCGCGUAGGAUUAGCUAGUUGGUGGGGUAAAGGCCCACCAAGGCGACGAUCCUUAGCUGGUCUGAGAGGAUGAUCAGCCACACUGGGACUGAGACACGGCCCAGACUCCUACGGGAGGCAGCAGUGGGGAAUAUUGGACAAUGGGCGAAAGCCUGAUCCAGCAAUGCCGCGUGAGUGAUGAAGGCCUUAGGGUUGUAAAGCUCUUUUACCCGGGAUGAUAAUGACAGUACCGGGAGAAUAAGCUCCGGCUAACUUCGUGCCAGCCGCCGCAGUAA
rnacentral:rRNA from 1 species